CUCUAGUUCACAUAUUUUCACUGUUGGCCUCACAUCACUCUAGAUCCAUAAAGGAGAUGUAAUUCCCUCCUGCUUUUCUGUUUUAAAUUGUAUGUUUUCCUUCAUUUAUGAAAAAUAAUUUUAACUUAUUUUAAAAGGUCUCUGAUUUUUCUGAAUACAUUUAAAAGAAGACCAGAAAUCUUCAUAAAAGUGAAAUUAUUUUUGUCAGUGCCAAGUUCCUCUUUUCUGAAAGGGGUCCUCUCCCUUCAGCUCCCAUCCCAAGAAGCCUCUCAACCUGGUGAGACCCGCUCAACUUCACCUCUGCUUAUUCAGCACUUACUCUUCAGAAUUUCGCAAGCAAGAAGAAUCUCAGAUGAUGAAGAAUUCACAAAAAGAAUGUUAAGCUAAACCUGAAGUAAGUGUUACAUAAUCAGGAGAAAGAAAUGCCAAAGGCAGAACUAAAGAAGAUCCUGGGACCCUUUAGUUUUUACGUUCCUGAGCUGCCUG
rnacentral:lncRNA from 1 species